rnacentral:rRNA from 1 species
UACGAAGGGGGGCUAGCGUUGCUCGGAAUGACUGGGCGUAAAGGGCGCGUAGGCGGCGAUCAAGGUCAGAUGUGAAAUUCCUGGGCUUAACCUGGGGGCUGCAUUUGAUACGUGGUGGCUUGAGUGCGGAAGAGGGUCGUGGAAUUCCUGGUGUAGCGGUGAAAUGCGCAGAUAUCAGGAGGAACACCGGUGGCGAAGGCGGCUCACUGGCUCAUUACUGACGCUCAGGCGCGAUAGCGUGGGAUCAAACAGG